rnacentral:rRNA from 1 species
CUACGGGAGGCUGCAGUGGGGAAUAUUGCACAAUGGGCGCAAGCCUGAUGCAGCCAUGCCGCGUGUGUGAAGCAGGCCUUCGGGUUGUAAGGCACUUUCAGCGGGGAGGAAGGCGGUGAGGUUAAUAACCUCAUCGAUUGACGUUACCCGCAGAAGAAGCACCGGCUAACUCCGUGCCAGCAGCCGCGGUAAUACGGAGGGUGCAAGCGUUAAUCGGAAUUACUGGGCGUAAAGCGCACGCAGGCGGUCUGUCAAGUCGGAUGUGAAAUCCCCGGGCUCAACCUGGGAACUGCAUUCGAAACUGGCAGGCUAGAGUCUUGUAGAGGGGGGUAGAAUUCCAGGUGUAGCGGUGAAAUGCGUAGAGAUCUGGAGGAAUACCGGUGGCGAAGGCGGCCCCCUGGACAAAGACUGACGCUCAGGUGCGAAAGCGUGGGGAGCAAACAGGAUUAGAUACCCCAGUAGUC